GGUCUUAUAGUUUAGUGUAAAAACUGUAAAUUGCAAAUUUACAAAUGAAGUAUUUCUAAGACUU
rnacentral:tRNA from 1 species